CGCCUCCUGCAAAAUAUUAUACAUAGGAGGUCCAACCUGCCCAGUGACUACAAGUUCAACGGCCGCGGUAUUUUAACCGUGCAAAGGUAGCGCAAUCACUUGUCUUUUAAAUAGAGACCUGUAUGAAUGGCCAAACGAAGGCUUAACUGUCUCCCAUUUCAAGUCAGUGAAAUUGAUCUAUCCGUGCAGAAGCGGGUAUAUUAAUACAAGACGAGAAGACCCUUUGGAGCUUAAGGUACAAAAUUCAACCACGUCAAACAACUCAAUAAAAAGUAAGAACCUUGUGGAACAUGAAAUUUUACCUUCGGUUGGGGCGACCACGGAGAAAAAUAAAUCCUCCAAGUGGACUGGGAUAAAAACCCUAAAACCAAGAGAGACAUCUCUAAGCCACAGAACAUCUGACCAAGCAUGAUCCGGCCACCAAAGCCGAUCAACGAACCAAGUUACCCUAGGGAUAACAGCGCAAUCCUCUCCCAGAGUCCAUAUCGACGAGGGGGUUUACGACCUCGAUGUUGGAUCAGGACAACCCUAAUGGGUGCAGCCGCUAUUAAGGGUUCGUUUGUUCAACGAUUAAAGUCCU
rnacentral:rRNA from 1 species